UCCCUGGUGGUCCAGUGGUUAGGACUCCCCGCUUAAACUGCUGAGGGCCCAGGUUCAAUCCCUGGUCGGGGAA